rnacentral:sRNA from 2 species
GCGGCGUGAAGGCCGAGUCCGCACAGGCCCGACAGGGGCCGCAGCGGAGCCGGGGACCCAAGUUCCAGGGGUGAAUCGGCGCGUCCCGAGCGCGCCGUAGGGCUCUUCCAUGCCCGAAUCCGUCAGCUAACCCGGUAGGCGUCAUGGGAGACAAGGA